rnacentral:rRNA from 1 species
ACACGCAUGACACACUGCAUAUCAAUAAGCGGAGGAAAAGAAACUAACAAGGAUUCCCUUAGUAACGGCGAGUGAAGCGGGAAGAGCUCAAAUUUGAAAUCUUCAAGGUUCUACCUUGACGAAUUGUAGUUUAUAGAAGUGUUUUCUGUUAGUAGAGUGGCAAAAGUUCUUUGGAAUAGGACAUCAUAGAGGGUGAGAAUCCCGUAUUUGGUCAUUCCUUCCUAGCUUUGUGAUACACUUUCAACGAGUCGGAUUGUUUGGGAAUGCAGUCCAAAAUGGGUGGUAAAUUUCAUCUAAAGCUAAAUAUUGGCGAGAGACCGAUAGCGAACAAGUACCGUGAGGGAAAGAUGAAAAGAACUUUGAAAAGAGAGUUAAACAGUACGUGAAAUUGUCAAAAGGGAAGCGUUUGACACCAGUGUUGUUUUUCCGAAAAUCAAUUACGAAUGUUUUGUUUUUAAGAAGUUAUGACUUCAUCGGCUUGCUUCUUUCUUUACGAAACUUUCUUAAUGCACUUUUCGGUUAACAAGUCAACAUCAAUUUCUUUUGUUGUAAAAGGGUAUGAGGAAGGUGGCUUUCUUUUCGGAGAAAGUGUUUAUAGCCUUGUACCUCUGCAAUCGGAGAGAUUGAGGUCUGCAGCGUAGAUCCUUCGGGGUUAGAUACAUUUGUGCUAAGUUAUAGCUUUUCAUAGACAACUUGUUGACUAUGUUAAGUCUUGUAGCUUACUCGCUUAUGCUAUUUUACCUACGCUUAGGAUGUUGAGCGCAUGUCUCUCUCU